GUUGCUGGUAGCUCAGUUAGUUAGAGCAUGGUGCUGGUAACACCAAGGUUGCAGGUUUGACCCCCAUAUGGGACA